rnacentral:rRNA from 1 species
UGGGGAAUUUUGGACAAUGGGCGAAAGCCUGAUCCAGCAAUGCCGCGUGUGUGAAGAAGGCCUUCGGGUUGUAAAGCACUUUUGUCCGGAAAGAAAUCCUUGGCUCUAAUACAGUCGGGGGAUGACGGUACCGGAAGAAUAAGCACCGGCUAACUACGUGCCAGCAGCCGCGGUAAUACGUAGGGUGCAAGCGUUAAUCGGAAUUACUGGGCGUAAAGCGUGCGCAGGCGGUUUGCUAAGACCGAUGUGAAAUUCCCGGGCUCAACCUGGGAACUGCAUUGGUGACUGGCAGGCUAGAGUAUGGCAGAGGGGGGUAGAAUUCCACGUGUAGCAGUGAAAUGCGUAGAGAUGUGGAGGAAUACCGAUGGCGAAGGCAGCCCCCUGGGCCAAUACUGACGCUCAUGCACGAAAGCGUGGGGAGCAAACAGGAUUAGAUACCCUGGUAGUCCACGCCCUAAACGAUGUCAACUAGUUGUUGGGGAUUCAUUUCCUUAGUAACGUAGCUAACGCGUGAAGUUGACCGCCUGGGGAGUACGGUCGCAAGAUUAAAACUCAAAUGAAUUGACGGGGUCAUAGCUG